AAAGUCGUAACCAGGUCUCCGUUGGUGAACCAGCGGAGGGAUCACUACCGAGUUCUUACUUAAAACCCUGCGAACCUACCUUUUCAUGCUUCGGCGGCCGGCCCCGGGGGGGCGUCAAACGGUCGCCGACAGUAUUUAAAAUCUCUAUCAGUGUAUUCUGAGUCACCAAAAAACAAAUCAAAACCUUCAACAACGGAUCUCUUGGUUCUG
rnacentral:misc_RNA from 1 species